GGGUCGGUCACCGUCCCGCGAUUUUUAAUUUAACUUAGGAUAGAUACCCUAUUAUUAAAAAUGUAAAUAUAAAAUGCUAAACUAGUAGUAGUUAUGUUCUUGAAAAUUAAAGAUUUCGGCGGUAUUUUAGUCUUUUCAGAGGAACCUGUCCUAUAAAUGAUAUUCCACGAUUUAUUAUACUUGUUUUAUUAGUUUGUAGAUCGUCGUCAGUUGAAUAUUUUUAAAGAAACUGAAUAUUCAAAAUUUUUUAUAAUAAAGAAAAUCAGAUCAAGGUGUAGAAUAAUAAACAAGUAGUGGAUGGGUUACAAUAAUUAUAUUUAAACGGAUUAAAGCAAUG
rnacentral:rRNA from 1 species